rnacentral:tRNA from 1 species
GAGUCGGUGGUGUAAGGUUAGCAUGGUUUACCUACCAAGCAGCCGAUCCGUGUUCGAUUCCCGGCCGACGCA